UACGUAGGGUGCAAGCGUUAAUCGGAAUUACUGGGCGUAAAGCGUGCGCAGGCGGUUUUGUAAGUCUGACGUGAAAUCCCCGGGCUUAACCUGGGAAUUGCGUUGGAGACUGCAAGGCUGGAGUCUGGCAGAGGGGGGUAGAAUUCCACGUGUAGCAGUGAAAUGCGUAGAGAUGUGGAGGAACACCGAUGGCGAAGGCAGCCCCCUGGGUCAAGACUGACGCUCAUGCACCGAAAGGCGUGGGGAGCAAACAGG
rnacentral:rRNA from 1 species